GGAGGACGGGAAGGUCAUUUGCUGGCUUUGUGAGCGGUCUCAGGAGCACCGUGGUCACCACACAUUCCUCACGGAGGAGGUUGCCCAGAAGUACCAAGUGAAGCUCCAGGCAGCUCUGGAGAUGCUGAGGCAGAAGCAGCAGGAAGCUGAAGAGUUGGAAGCUGACAUCAGAGAAGAGAAAGCUUCCUGGAAGACUCAAAUACAGUAUGACAAAACCAGCGUCUUGGCAGAUUUUGAGCAACUGAGAGACAUCCUGGACUGGGAGGAGAGCAAUGAGCUGCAAAACCUGGAGAAGGAGGAGGAAGACAUUCUAAAAAGCCUUACGAAGUCUGAAACUGAGAUGGUGCAGCAGACCCAGUCCGUGAGAGAGCUCAUCUCAGAUGUGGAGCAUCGGCUGCAGGGGUCAGUGAUGGAGCUGCUUCAGGGUGUGGAUGGCAUCAUAAAAAGGAUGCAGAACGUGACCUUGAAGAAGCCAGAAACUUUUCCAAAAAAUCAAAGGAGAGUGUUUCGAGCUCCUAAUCUGAAAGGAAUGCUAGAAGUGUUUAGAGAGCUGACAGAUGUCCGACGCUACUGGGUUGAUGUGACAGUGGCUCCAAACGACAUUUCAUAUGCUGUCAUUUCUGAAGAUAUGAGACAAGUGAGCUGUCCGGAACCACAGAUAAUAUAUGGGGCACAAGGGACAACAUAUCAGACAUAUGUGAAUUUCAAUUAUUGUACUGGCAUCCUGGGCUCUCAAAGUAUCACGUCAGGGAAACAUUACUGGGAGGUAGACGUGUCCAAGAAAAGUGCUUGGAUCCUGGGGGCUGGAGUGCAAUGGCACGAUCUCGGCUCACUGCAACCUCCACCUCUCAGAUUCAAGCAAUUCUCCUGCCUCAGCCUCCCAAGUAGCUGGGAUUACAGGCGCCCACCACCACUCCC
rnacentral:sRNA from 1 species